CCAUGAUGAAAUUGACAUUGCAUAAAAUACAGAAAUCAACGACAACGGAAGCCCGCAAUGAACGGUGUUUUAAUCUUUUGCUGACGACAACUUCCAAAUCUACUCAGGACCAGGAUUCUUUAAGGGAAAAAGAAAUCUUCAUAGGGAUAUAUAGAUAAAUGGAUCCACAGAACUCUGUAGCUCACCUGCAGUUGCUGCUGUUAGUGUAAAAGUGUGAUGUUGACUUUAAAAAUUUCAGCAACAGAAUGAAGAAUUCCAAGAGUCUAAUACGGUUUAUUUAACAGGAUUUUAUCAUUGAAUCUACAUCCUACAAGACUAUAACAUACAAAUAAAUGAAAGAAUCCAUGGAUACUUAUAGUAAUUAUGUGCAGGGGAGAACAUUUAAACAAUACUGUAAGAGACAUACAGUGGUGUUUUUUAAAGAGACCGAAGGAACCUGUAAUAACUUGCCAUGAGUGUAUAUUUUCCAAACUAGACGCUCGUUCAUAAUAAUAUACAAUUUAAAUUAAAAUUAGUGUAUGAACAUUACAGAUAAAUUCUAAAAAGAGAAAAUUUAUUUUUAAAUGA